GAUGAACGCUAGCGGCAGGCCUAAUACAUGCAAGUCGUACGGCAACACAGUUGCGAGCAAUCGCAACCGGUGGCGAGUGGCGCACGGGUGAGUAACGCGUAUGUAACCUACCCUUCUCCGGGACAUAACUCCGCGAAAGCGGUGCUAAUAUCCCAUACCAACUCAUCAAGACAUCUUCUUGAGUUGAAAGCAGCAAUGCGGUGAAGGAUGGGCAUGCGUCCCAUUAGCUGGUUGGUGAGGUAAUGGCCCACCAAGGCUACGAUGGGUAGGGGUUCUGAGAGGAAAGCCCCCCACACUGGUACUGAGACACGGACCAGACUCCUACGGGAGGCAGCAGUAAGGAAUAUUGGGCGAAUGGUCGAAAGAACUGACCCACGCCAUGCCGCGUGCAGGAUGAAGGCCCUAUGGGUUGGUAAACUGCUUUUAGUCCGGGAACGUAAAACAACCCGUUUUACUUAAACGGGACCCGGAACGGUAACCGGCCGUGAAUAAAGACAUCGGCGUAACUACCGUUCGCCACGCACG
rnacentral:rRNA from 1 species